rnacentral:rRNA from 1 species
UACGUAGGGGGCAAGCGUUGUCCGGAAUCAUUGGGCGUAAAGAGCGUGUAGGCGGCCUGAUAAGUCGGCUGUGAAAGUCAAGGGCUCAACCCUUGAAUGCCGGCCGAUACUGUCAGGCUAGAGUCUGGAAGAGGCGAGUGGAAUUCCUGGUGUAGCGGUGAAAUGCGCAGAUAUCAGGAGGAACACCCGUGGCGAAAGCGGCUCUCUGGGACGGUACUGACGCUGAGACGCGAAAGCGUGGGGAGCGAACAGG